GCCAAAGAUUUAUUGCCUCGGGAUGGGCCCGCGUCGGAUUAGCUAGUCGGUGGGGUAAUGGCCCACCGAGGCGACGAUCCGUAGCUGGUUUGAGAGGAUGAUCAGCCACACCGGGACUGAGACACGGCCCGGACUCCUGCGGGAGGCAGCAGUGGGGAAUAUUGGACAAUGGGCGCAAGCCCGAUCCAGCCAUGCCGCGUGAGCGAUGAAGGCCUCAGGGUUGUAAAGCUCUUUUACCCGGGAAGACAAUGACGGUACCGGGAGAAUAAGCCCCGGCUAACUCCGUGCCAGCAGCCGCGGUAAUACGGAGGGGGCUAGCGUUGUUCGGAAUUACUGGGCGUAAAGCGCACGUAGGCGGAUGUUCAAGUCGGGGGUGAAAGCCCGGGGCUCAACCCCGGAAUUGCCUUCGAAACUGGACGUCUGGAGACCGGGAGAGGACAGUGGAAUUCCCAGUGUAGAGGUGAAAUUCGUAGAUAUUGGGAAGAACACCAGUGGCGAAGGCGGCUGUCUGGACCGGUUCUGACGCUGAAGAGCGAAAGCGUGGGGAGCAAACA
rnacentral:rRNA from 1 species